ACUUAUGACACCAGCUACCUCUGAACCCUGAAGUUAUCUGAUGCAAGAAAUGAACAACUUUGAUUGAAGGUAAGGCAACCACCUCACCUCCACCUUCUUCUACCACUUGGUCCAAGUCAAGAAGAAAUUUUCACUUGGUUUGUAUCUUUCCUUUUCAUAGAAAAAGGACGUAACGUCACAUUAAAAAAUAUUAUUGUGCCAUUUCUUCUGGAAAACCAGGUGUAGUCUGAGAACAUGGAGUGGUGGACACACUAUAUAAUGGUCAACAUUCUUUUGAGUAUUUUCUAUUAAUGAGUUGUAGAGUUGCGUGCAUGUCCAUAGAGACAGACAGAUGUGGAUAUAUGAGGUCUGUGUUCAUGAAAAGCAAAUUAACUACCUUUCUCUCGCCCUCUCAGGGACCUAGAAUAUAAAGUAUAGAAUAGGCACAUUGGAGGUCUUCUAGUCCAAGCAGGAGAUCCCACACCAUCCUGGACAAAUGGCUGUCAAAUCUCAGUGAUGGAGCACCCACAACUUCUGAAGGAAAGCUGUUCCACUGGUUAAUUGUUCUCACUGCCAGGAAAUUUCUUCUUAAUUCUAGGUUGCUUCUCUCCUUGUUUAGUUUCCGUCUGUUACUUCUUGUUCUUCCUUCAUGUGCUUUGGAGGGUAGGUUGUCCCACUCUUCUUUGUGGCAGCUCCUUAAAUAUUGGAAGAUGCUAUUCCUGUCACUCCUAGCCCUUCUCUUCGUUAGACUAGACGUACCCAGUUCCUACAACCGUUCGUCAUAUGGUUUAACCUCUCUUGUUUUUCUUUCUCUGUGGAAUUAAGUUUGACUGGGCUUUUCUAAUUUCAUUUUUCAGAGUUUCCCAAGCACCUUGAGAAAACUAGAGCCAAUCCCUUCUUUCUAUCCAUGUUACCCGAUUGCUGAACGAAAAGGAGGAGGAGAAGAAGGAGGAGGAGGAGGAGGACCAGCUGCUGUCAAGAAAGCUGAUCUAACAGUCCACAAGCCACGUUCGCAUCUUCGGCAGAUGGUAACAGGGUUGGCUGCUUAGCGCUGCAUGUUUGACAUCUCCUAGAAAUAGCAAGCCAUGAUAAAGUGGUAGGCCUGUAGCCACUAUCAUCUGUUCCGGUGUCUUUGGCUGAAAGUGGAAGUCACGUGCUCGGUUUCGCACCUCCCUGAUGCGAGAACGCUGUUGGGGCAGAACAACAAUGGAAAGGGUGAAAGGAAGAGAAGAGAAGGGACGGAGAUGACCCACAGGAGCAGCGAGGAGAUCUUCGGGGGGCUCCACGUUCUUCUGAGGACCCCACCUCUGAACCUCCCAUUCAUUUCGGCAAGAUGGUUCUUGCCUUAAAUGGUCAGGCAACCAGGUUGAACCUUGUUCUGGACAACUACAUGUAGCAUGAAGGUCAGAUCGACCACCAUUCCUUUACCUGAAGGGAUUUGUCUUUAGCCACGCAAGGUCGUCUUCAUGUGAUACCUGUUAAGGAAGAAAGAAGACACUCAUCAAUGGAAUGCCUUCAUGUUCAGGAACAAUUUAUUGAAUGUCCAUCUUCUUUCAUUCUGUUUUAUGUGUCAUCAUGAAUAAUAGCUGGCUUCCUAGGAAAUGGACUAUCAAUCAUUCAUCCCAAUUCAUUUUCAAGUUGGAUUGUUUCCCCCAAUCAGCGUCAGUUUGGGAAGGCUGCCAAAAUUGAUUUGGGUGAUUUCGGGUGAUCUUCACCCAGGGCUGACCCCCUUGGAAGGAUACUUGUAGCUCGUGGUUAAAUUGUGGAAUCCAUGAUGGUCUCUUGAUGGUUUUCUUGCAGAUGUUCCAUGACCCAACUAGAUACUAUCAUCAGUGCUAGGCUAAGCUAAUAUUGAUAUUAUCUAGUUGGAUCACCAAGCUGAGAGAAUGCCAAGGACCCCAAAGUCCUCCUCCUCCUCCUCCUCUCCACCCCACAAUCCUCCUCCUUCUCCUCUCGUCUUCCACGACCUCUUCCUCCUUUCCAUGAGGACUCCAUAGUCCUCCUCCUCCUCCUCCUCUUCACCCCACAAUCCUCCUCCUCCUCUCGUCCUCCACCACCUCUUCCUCCUUUCCAUGAGGACCCCACAGUCCUCCUCUUCCUCCUCCUCCUCCUCCUCCUCCUCCCCCUCCUCCUUCUUACCUAGUUGGGUCAUGAAAUGUCUGCAAGAAAGCCACCAAUCUCAGAGAGCACCUCAUUCACAUGUCCUUCAAGUUGGACCACAUUUGAGAACAUCGUAAGAGAGUCUGACCCAGGGGUGAAAUCCAGCAGGUUCUGACAGGUUCUGGAGAACCAGUAGCGGAAAUUUUGAGCAGUUCUGAGAACCGGCAAAUGCCACCUCUGGCUGGCCCCAGAGUGGGGUGGGAAUGGAGAUUUUGCAGUAUUCUUCCCCUGCCACACCCACCAAGUCACGCCCACCAAACCAAACCACACCACACCCACCAAGCCACGACCACAGAACCGGUAGUAAAACUUGUCUGACCAAUGCCUGAUGCAAGUGGUCAGAAUGAUCUCAUGGACAUGGUUUUACCUGGACAUUCAAAAAAUCCGGAAUAAACAAUUACAAUAAGGGAAGUUUUCUUAUGGAUCAGCCAUUGCUCAAAAACAGGAUGUGGAAACUUAGAAGAAAUGGUCCGUACUUAACAAUAAAGAGAUGUAAAUUACUAUAA